UGAUAGCUCAGUUGUUACAGCGUUAGAUUUUUAAUCUCAGGGUUAUGGGUUCGAGUCCCACCUUGGGUGAAAAA